rnacentral:rRNA from 1 species
GAUGAACGCUGGCGGCGUGCCUAAUACAUGCAAGUCGAGCGAACAGACGAGGAGCUUACUCCUCUGACGUUAGCGGCGGACGGGUGAGUAACACGUGGAUAACCUACCUAUAAGACUGGGAUAACUUCGGGAAACCGGAGCUAAUACCGGAUAACAUGUUGAACCGCAUGGUUCAACAGUGAAAGACGGUCUUGCUGUCACUUAUAGAUGGAUCCGCGUCGCAUUAGCUAGUUGGUAAGGUAACGGCUUACCAAGGCAACGAUGCGUAGCCGACCUGAGAGGGUGAUCGGCCACACUGGAACUGAGACACGGUCCAGACUCCUACGGGAGGCAGCAGUAGGGAAUCUUCCGCAAUGGGCAAAAGCCUGACGGAGCAACGCCGCGUGAGCGAAGAAGGUCUUCGGAUCGUAAAACUCUGUUAUUAGGGAAGAACAAAUGUGUAAGUAACUAUGCACGUCUUGACGGUACCUAAUCAGAAAGCCACGGCUAACUACGUG